rnacentral:rRNA from 1 species
AUUGAACGCUGGCGGCAUGCUUUACACAUGCAAGUCGAACGGCAGCGCGGGCUUCGGCCUGGCGGCGAGUGGCGAACGGGUGAGUAAUACAUCGGAACGUGCCCAGUAGUGGGGGAUAGCUCGGCGAAAGCCGGAUUAAUACCGCAUACGACCUGAGGGUGAAAGCGGGGGAUCUUCGGACCUCGCGCUAUUGGAGCGGCCGAUGGCAGAUUAGCUAGUUGGUGGGGUAAAGGCCUACCAAGGCGACGAUCUGUAGCUGGUCUGAGAGGACGACCAGCCACACUGGGACUGAGACACGGCCCAGACUCCUACGGGAGGCAGCAGUGGGGAAUUUUGGACAAUGGGCGAAAGCCUGAUCCAGCAAUGCCGCGUGUGUGAUGAAGGCCUUCGGGUUGUAAAGCACUUUUGGCGGGAACGAAAAGGACUGUGCCAAUACCACGGUUCGAUGACGGUACCCGCAGAAUAAGCACCGGCUAACUA